GGUGGCUCAGUGGUAGAGUGCUUGCUUUGCAUGCAUGAGGCCCUGGGUUUGAUUCCCCAGCACCA
rnacentral:tRNA from 1 species